rnacentral:rRNA from 1 species
CUACGGGCCGCUGCAGCUAAGAAUCUUCCGCAAUGGGGGAAACCCUGACGGAGCGACGCCGCGUGAACGAAGAAGGCCGGAAGGUUGUAAAGUUCUUUUCUUAGUGAAGAAUAAUAUAGCGAGGAAAUGCGUUAUAGAUGACGUUAGCUAAGGAAUAAGCCCCGGCUAAUUACGUGCCAGCAGCCGCGGUAACACGUAAGGGGCGAGCGUUUGUCGGAAUUAUUGGGCGUAAAGGGCGCGUAGGCGGCUUGGCAAGCUUGGUGUUAAAAACAACGGCUUAACCGUUGGUAAGCAUUGGGAACUGCCUGGCUAGAGGUCUGGAGGGGGAGCUGGAAUUCCUGGUGUAGGGGUGAAAUCUGUAGAUAUCAGGAAGAACACCGGUGGCGAAGGCGAGCUCCUGGCCGGAAACUGACGCUGAGGCGCGAAAGCGUGGGGAGCGAACAGGAUUAGAUACCCUUGUAGUC